CAGCUCAGAUUCAAAUAACUUAAUUAAAGUCGGCUAUUUUAUAGGCACCGGAAAUAUUUGUGAACUUGGACAGAAGCUCCUAACAAUCAAAAUAUAGUGUCUUGAUUUUGUUCAGCCUGAGAGUUCAAGUUUACGGCAAACGAAGGCGAGACAUUGUGUUCCGCGAAACCCUUACUAAUUUUAUUUCAUACAGUUAAAAAUCUAAAUUUUAUUUUUAUGCAUACAAUGUCCGACGCAUUAUAUCUACAGACAGUGACUGGUUCUAGAAAUUAUUUCAACUACAUGUUUGAUAUAAUUGAUUGCAAUAAAUGAAUGAUCUAUGUAUUUUUAUUUUCAUGUUAUAUAUUUUUUUUCACUUUGACGGAUAAAUUUUAUAAACGAUUAUAUAUGUAUGUAUAUAUCUAAAAAAUAUUGUAAGCUGUUUUCGUAUUCACUACAAGCAUAGCAGAAAUUAUUUGAUUCUUUUAUGUUAACAUGCACUGCAAAUUUUUGUAGUUCUGUACAUAUAUACUUAUCAACAGGACAUAUUAGGU
rnacentral:lncRNA from 1 species